UUUGAUUAGGAUUUAUUUAGGAUUUGAUUAAGAUUGGUUUAGAAUUUAAUUAGAAUUUAUUAAAGGUUAUAUUAGGAUUUAAUUAAGAUUAAAUUAGAAUUUUUAUUUUUAAUAUUUAUUUAAAAAAAUUCUGAUAUUUUUCAAUAAUUUUUUUAUUAUAUUUAUUUUAUUAAGGUUAAUUUAUGAUUUCUUUAUGUUUCUUUUGUAAGUUCUUUAAAAUUCU
rnacentral:lncRNA from 1 species